GAAAAAAAAAUCAAAGAGCAACGCUAGAGAAUGAAUAGGUUUGAGAGUGAGUAGUAACUUCUCCCGCUAGGGAAAAGUAAUUUCAUUAAUGUUGUAUUAGAUAAGUAUUUAAUAGUUUGUAUGUAAAAUUAUUAAUAUGAAAUAAAAAGUGAGUUUUUAUAUCAUUCUUCUUAAAACUCCAUAGAUAGUCGAAAGUGAAGGUUGCGAUCUUCAGCCUUAAGGAGGAAUAGUAACAAAGUAGCCAAAGACUGCGGUCGCUAGGGCGAAACACUGUUCAUGGCCUGAAAGGAGAAAUACUGCGGUAUUGAUAGAGACUAUUUAUCGACAAAAGAGAAGAAAGAAACUAUCAAUUUGGUCGUGAGUGAUUAUGGGGUCGAGGUUUUGUUAGUGAAUUUGAGUAGCUUGCGUAAGAUCAACAGGGUCGAGGUCUUGGGAAUCAUCAGCUUAGUGAUAGGAAGUCCUAAACCUCAUUGCACUUAAAUAUGUAAAGAAGGAGGAAGUAAUUGAAGAUCCUUUAAGUAUAUAUCUAGUAUUUCUUGUACAACUGCCUUAUGAUUCUUUUUGAUUAAAAUGUCUAUUCUGCCACUGCUCUGAGGUGUAAAUUUAUUGUAUGAUCGGUGAUUUUAUGAUUCUAACUUUAAUUGGAAGCGUUUAAGAGAUUUCUUGGUGUUAAUUCCUUCAUACGAGAAUGUCUUUGUGAGUAAUAGACUCGUAAAAAAUGAUUAACUGUCUCUCUACCUUUGCAAGGAAUUGAGAUGGAGGAUUUUCCUUUUAUUAUCCUAAAAGGAAUCCUCUAUAUAACAGUCUCUCUAUACAAUUCAUACUUUUUCCUACAAUUCAAGCAUACCUUUUUGCAUUUAAGGGCCAUGCUCUGACCCGCUAGUUUUUGCUAGCAUCAUCAUAUGAAGUUUUUUCAUUAAAUAUUUGAGUUUUACCAGUUACAUCUUGUGCAAAUUUGUGUUAUAAAUUCAUAACCGACCCUGCUAAAGCCCCCAUAUCAUUAUCCUACUCUUUUUUCCUCCUCCUUUUCUCUUUCUUUUUAUUCAUAAACAUAGUAUGGUGUAGGAUUUAUUCUUCAAAUCUACUGACUUUAUUCUUUUGUUUAUCCACAUUGAACCUCUUGUUCUUAGUGGAUGAUAUUUUAAAACAAAAUUAGUAUAUCACGAGGAGAUCAUAUGUUGAAUUAGAGGGAUUUUAGCAGAUUUAAGGUGAAUUUAGUUGAAUUAUUAAAGAAAAAAUGCAAGUUUGAAUAUGAAUAAUUUAAAUUGUUCAGCACGACUUUAUGAACAACCAACUUGUGUUCAGGAAUUCAAAUAUAGACUUGCACUCAUGUAUUUAGAAAUCAAGAACAACAGCAACGAUGUUUCCAAGUAUCACAACUGCCGCGAGUGAAGAAGAUAUAAACCCAAUGCCCAAAACUCCCUUGUUUUUUUUAAUGUUUUAUACUCUUUUGUUCUUGUUUUUCAUGGUAUCUAAUGCUCUCUAUCCAAAUUUGGAGAGCGAGUGUAUCUGAAAGUUUAUAUCUAAAUGAACUUCCUCAAUUUGAAUGUUUUUAUCAAAAAAAUAUCUAUGUGUUAUAUCAAGUAAUCUAGUUAAUAUUUAUGCCUA